rnacentral:rRNA from 1 species
GACAAACGCUGGCGGCGUGCUUAACACAUGCAAGUCGAGCGGUAAGGCCCUUUCGGGGGUACACGAGCGGCGAACGGGUGAGUAACACGUGGGUGACCUGCCCUCAGCUCUGGGAUAAGCCUGGGAAACCGGGUCUAAUACUGGAUAUGACUCCAUGACGCAUGUUGUGGGGUGGAAAGCCUUGUGCGGCUGAGGAUGGGCCCGCGGCCUAUCAGCUUGUUGGUGGGGUGANGGCCUACCAAGGCGACGACGGGUAGCCGGCCUGAGAGGGCGACCGGCCACACUGGGACUGAGACACGGCCCAGACUCCUACGGGAGGCAGCAGUGGGGAAUCUUGCGCAAUGGGCGAAAGCCUGACGCAGCGACGCCGCGUGAGGGAUGACGGCCUGG